GCGGUCGUAGUCUAGCUCGGUCUAGGACAUCAGCCUGCCACGUUGACGACCCGGGUUCAAAUCUCGGCGACCGCACCA
rnacentral:tRNA from 1 species